rnacentral:pre_miRNA from 1 species
CUCAACUGUCCUCGAGUGAGGUAGAGAGGUGUUAUUGCGUCACCACGACAACAUCAGUUUGACUUGAC